CACCUCUAGAAUUACAAUUAUUAGAGGCACUGCCUGCCCAGUGACAUGCGUUUAACGGCAGCGGUAUUCUGACCGUGCAAAGGUAGCAUAAUCAUUUGUUCCUUAAUUAGGGACUAGUAUGAAAGGCUUGACGAGGGUUUUACUGUCUCUUGUUUCCAAUCAGUGAAAUUGACCUUCCCGUGAAGAGGCGGGGAUAAUAAUAUAAGACGAGAAGACCCUGUGGAGCUUAAAUUACUGGCCCAACUAUAUCCAAUUAGCCCCUCAGGGCCAACAUAUAAUAAACUGGGCUAAAAAUUUCGGUUGGGGUGACCUCGGAGUAAAAAAAAUCCUCCGAAUGAUUUAUAACCAGACCUAACAAGUCAAGUUAGUAACUCAUCAUCAAUUGAUCCAAGAAAUUGAUCAACGGAACAAGUUACCCCAGGGAUAACAGCGCAAUCCUAUUUUAGAGUUCAUAUCGACAAUAGGGUUUACGACCUCGAUGUUGGAUCAGGACAUCCAAAUGGCGCAACAGCUAUUACUGGUUCGUUUGUUCAACGAUUAAAGUCCUACGU
rnacentral:rRNA from 1 species